rnacentral:rRNA from 1 species
AGAGUUUGAUCAUGGCUCAGGACGAACGCUGGCGGCGUGCUUAACACAUGCAAGUCGAGCGGAAAGGCCCUUCGGGGUACUCGAGCGGCGAACGGGUGAGUAACACGUGAGUAACCUGCCCCAAACUUUGGGAUAACCCUCGGAAACGGGGGCUAAUACCGGAUAUGACACGGCUUCGCAUGGGGUUGUGUGGAAAGUUUUUCGGUUUGGGAUGGGCUCGCGGCCUAUCAGCUUGUUGGUGGGGUGAUGGCCUACCAAGGCGACGACGGGUAGCCGGCCUGAGAGGGCGACCGGCCACACUGGGACUGAGACACGGCCCAGACUCCUACGGGAGGCAGCAGUGGGGAAUAUUGCACAAUGGGCGGAAGCCUGAUGCAGCGACGCCGCGUGAGGGAUGACGGCCUUCGGGUUGUAAACCUCUUUCAGCAGGGACGAAGCGAGAGUGACGGUACCUGCAGAAGAAGCGCCGGCCAACUACGUGCCAGCAGCCGCGGUAAGACGUAGGGCGCGAGCGUUGUCCGGAUUUAUUGGGCGUAAAGAGCUCGUAGGCGGCUUGUCGCGUCGACCGUGAAAACUUGGGGCUCAACCCCAAGCCUGCGGUCGAUACGGGCAGGCUCGAGUUCGGUAGGGGAGACUGGAAUUCCUGGUGUAGCGGUGAAAUGCGCAGAUAUCAGGAGGAACACCGGUGGCGAAGGCGGGUCUCUGGGCCGAUACUGACGCUGAGGAGCGAAAGCGUGGGGAGCGAACAGGAUUAGAUACCCUAGUAGUCC